rnacentral:rRNA from 1 species
GUGUCAGCCGCCGCGGUAACCCCGGCGCCACGAGUGGCAUUCUUGUAUUUGGCCUAAAGCAUUCGUAGCCGGUUUGAAAAAUCCUUUGUGAAAUUGUUGAACUCAAUACAACAGCAUGCAGGGGACACUUUCAAGCUAGAGACUGGGAGGAGUUAGGGGUAUUCCUAGGGGAGCGGUUAAAUGUGAUAAUCCUAGGAGGACCACCUGUGGCGAAGGCGCCUAACUAGAACAGUUCUGACGGUGAGGGAUGAAAGCUAGGGGAGCGAUCCGGAUUAGAUACCCCAGUAGUCC